CCUCUCGAUUUCUUCUCAGAACAAUAAUCUUCAUCAACCAGAGAUGAAUUGGAGGCUUCGAGAUUGAAAUAAGAGGAGAUCGAUCCUGCAUUAGAUAAUCGUAGCGGUGUUGUUCUCAAUAGCUGAUUCUGACUCAAGGAAACAAGAUAAUUCAGAGAGAAGGAAAUCGAAAUUGGGGGAAAUUAAAAUUAUUGCACCCCUCCUAAUUUUAAUAUCAAAUUCAAUAUGGGUUUCAACUUCAAUUGUUAUUGUUACAUCUUGGUUGUGUAUCAUAGGUAUUGAACCAAGAGUCUAUGGUAAUGGAGUUUACACAGGGUUGAGGAGUUCAGGAAAUUGGCGAGAUCAUGUCGAGAUGGAAAAGCACUUGCAUGGCAGGUGACAAUUACAAAACUCUGACCAUAGCAGCUGUGGUGAGGACGAGCAUCCAUUAAAUGAGUUACUCAUCCUGCAGCUCGGAUCCGAGCACCCUAACCGCCAUUAGAACAUUUCUUUAUGUUAGAUUUUUGGUCUAUCUGAAUAAAGGAGAGCAACAAAAGAGAGCUAGUGAAACAGAAUUAAAGCAAGUUGUGUUGCGCAACUCAGGUUCGUUCUCUUGAUUAUUUAACAUUGCAUAAAACUGAUUUUGCAACCUUUCCUAAAUAUUCUUCACAUGUUGUACACGCAAAGAAACGGAAAACAAGUGAUUCUAAGCCAUGCAAAGUGGAAUCCGAACAAGAAGAACACUCCCUUUCAUUGUCGCAGAAUUCAUCUCCUUCCUAAUCUGACCAAGAGCAGACACCGAUUAAAGCAACACGUCGUCCAUUAUGUUUGUUGAAGCAACGUUUUCAAAAUCCAAAUGUAAACAAUGUCGUAGAGACUCAACCCGAUCAGAUUAGUAGCAUUCGAAGUAGCCCACAAGAUUUUCAUUUUGUGUCUGGAGAAAUCCUAGACACCCCACAAAGCAAGAACAGUUUCUACAUAUGAACGUAGGCUGGCCAGAAGGACAAUUUUCCAUGGACCGCAAACCAAUUGAAGCUAUGCCAGUGCAUUCCUUGGAAAAAUUUCAUUUUUUUCGUACAUAUAUCAAGUUCGCUUUAUUAUCGCUUUAGUCUUUUUUAAUUGAACCAUCCUUUAUUUGUGUGUGUAAACUUUAUUGAACCAUCCACAUCUGUUCUAUGUUAUAGGUUGGAGCUGAUGUUUGAGGUAAAGUGGAUGGAGCAUUCGAUUCUGGAUGCCUAAUGACUGCAAAUGUUAAUGGCAAGAUCCUUAGAGGAAUCUUAUUUGCUCCUGGAAACGGGUUUGUACCAAGGGAUGCCGUUCUUCCUCCAAGUUCACCAACUUUAGGUAAUUUAGUUUUGCGUCAAUUUUUUCGGCCGGCCAUCCCACCGUGGCAGCGGUCAUCUAGCUAUAUGCUGCCCUUAUUUAUCAAUCUUUUUUUAUCGACGACGACAAAUUUUUGUCCAACUGAUCGAAAUUUCAAAUGUCAACAAACCCUUGUUUCUAGCUGUCUAUUUAUCAAUUCUUUUUUUUUCCACAAAUUCCUGUCCAACUGAUCGAAGAAUUUCAAAUGCCAAUAAACCCUUGUUUCUAGCUGUC